rnacentral:rRNA from 1 species
ACGAACGCUGGCGGCGCGCCUAACACAUGCAAGUCGAACGGAGCACUUGGAGCGGUAGCGAUACCAGGAAGAGGGCUCAGUGGCGGACGGGUGAGUAACACGUGAGCAACCUGCCUUUCAGAGGGGGAUAACGUCUGGAAACGGACGCUAAUACCGCAUAACACAGAAGGGAGACAUCUCUCGACUGUCAAAGGAGCAAUCCGCUGAAAGAUGGGCUCGCGCCCGAUUAGCUAGAUGGUGAGGUAACGGCUCACCAUGGCGACGAUCGGUAGCCGGACUGAGAGGUUGAACGGCCACAUUGGGACUGAGACACGGCCCAGACUCCUACGGGAGGCAGCAGUGGGGAAUAUUGGGCAAUGGGGGAAACCCUGACCCAGCGACGCCGCGUGAGGGAAGAAGGUUUUCGGAUUGUAAACCUCUGUCUUUGGGGACGAAACGAAUGACGGUACCCAAGGAGGAAGCCACGGCUAACUACGUGCCAGCAGCCGCGGUAAUACGUAGGUGGCAAGCGUUGUCCGGAAUUACUGGGUGUAAAGGGAGCGUAGGCGGGAUGCUAAGCAAAUUGUGAAACCAAUCGGCUCAACCGGUUGUUGCGAUUUGAACUGGUGUCCUUGAGUGGAGUAGAGGCAGGCGGAAUUCCCAGUGUAGCGGUGAAAUGCGUAGAUAUUGGGAGGAACACCAGUGGCGAAGGCGGCCUGCUGGGCUCUAACUGACGCUGAAGCUCGAAAGUGUGGGUAGCAAACAGGAUUAGAUACCCUGGUAGUCCACACUGUAAACGAUGAUUACUAGGUGUGGGUGGUCUGACCCCAUCCGUGCCGGAGUUAACACAAUAAGUAAUCCACCUGGGGAGUACGACCGCAAGGUUGAAACUCAAAGGAAUUGACGGGGCCCCGCACAAGCAGUGGAGUAUGUGGUUUAAUUCGAUGCAACGCGAAGAACCUUACCAGGUCUUGACAUCCAACCAACGAGGUAGAGAUACGUUAGGUGCCCUUCGGGGAAGGUUGAGACAGGUGGUGCAUGGUUGUCGUCAGCUCGUGUCGUGAGAUGUUGGGUUAAGUCCCGCAACGAGCGCAACCCUUAUGAUUAGUUGCUACGCAAGAGCACUCUAAUCAGACUGCCGUUGACAAAACGGAGGAAGGUGGGGAUGACGUCAAAUCAUCAUGCCCUUUAUGACCUGGGCUACACACGUACUACAAUGGCCGUUACAGAGGGAAGCGAAGCCGCGAGGUGGAGCAAACCCCUAAAAGCGGUCUCAGUUCGAAUUGCAGGCUGCAACCCGCCUGCAUGAAGUCGGAAUUGCUAGUAAUCAUGGAUCAGCAUGCCAUGGUGAAUACGUUCCCGGGGCUUGUACACACCGCCCGUCACACUAUGAGAGCCGGUAACACCCGAAGUCAGUAGUCUAACCGCAAGGAGGGCGCUGCCGAAGGUGGGAUUGGUAAUUGGAGUG